rnacentral:rRNA from 1 species
GAACGAGACCUUCGGGUCUAGUGGCGCACGGGUGCGUAACGCGUGGGAAUCUACCCUUGGGUUCGGAAUAACACUUGGAAACGACUGCUAAUACCGGAUGAUGACUUCGGUCCAAAGAUUUAUCGCCCAGGGAUGAGCCCGCGUAGGAUUAGCUAGUUGGUGAGGUAAGGGCUCACCAAGGCGACGAUCCUUAGCUGGUCUGAGAGGAUGAUCAGCCACACUGGGACUGAGACACGGCCCAGACUCCUACGGGAGGCAGCAGUGGGGAAUAUUGGACAAUGGGCGAAAGCCUGAUCCAGCAAUGCCGCGUGAGUGAUGAAGGCCUUAGGGUUGUAAAGCUCUUUUACCCGGGAUGAUAAUGA